AUUGAACGCUGGCGGCAUGCCUUACACAUGCAAGUCGAACGGUAGAGGGGGCAACCCCUUGAGAGUGGCGAACGGGUGAGUAAUAUAUCGGAACGUGCCCAGUCGUGGGGAUAACGUAGCGAAAGUUACGCUAAUACCGCAUACGAUCUAAGGAUGAAAGCGGGGGAUCGCAAGACCUCGCGCGAUUGGAGCGGCCGAUAUCAGAUUAGGUAGUUGGUGGGGUAAAGGCUCACCAAGCCAACGAUCUGUAGCUGGUCUGAGAGGACGACCAGCCACACUGGAACUGAGACACGGUCCAGACUCCUACGGGAGGCAGCAGUGGGGAAUUUUGGACAAUGGACGCAAGUCUGAUCCAGCCAUUCCGCGUGCAGGAUGAAGGCCCUCGGGUUGUAAACUGCUUUUGUACGGAACGAAACGGUGAGCUCUAAUACAGUUUGCUAAUGACGGUACCGUAAGAAUAAGCACCGGCUAACUACGUGCCAGCAGCCGCGGU
rnacentral:rRNA from 1 species